GAAUUCAACUCCUACGGGAGGCAGCAGUGGGGAAUAUUGCACAAUGGGGGAAACCCUGAUGCGGCGACGCCGCGUGAAGGAAGAAGUAUCUCGGUAUGUAAACUUCUAUCAGCAGGGAAGAUAAUGACGGUACCUGACUAAGAAGCCCCGGCUAACUACGUGCCAGCAGCCGCGGUAAUACGUAGGGGGCAAGCGUUAUCCGGAUUUACUGGGUGUAAAGGGAGCGUAGACGGUGUGGCAAGUCUGAUGUGAAAGGCAUGGGCUCAACCCGUGGACUGCAUUGGAAGCUGUCAUACUUGAGUGCCGGAGGGGUAAGCGGAAUUCCUAGUGUAGCGGUGAAAUGCGUAGAUAUUAGGAGGAACACCAGUGGCGAAGGCGGCUUACUGGACGGUAACUGACGUUGAGGCUCGAAAGCGUGGGGAGCAAACAGGAUUAGAUACCCUAGUAGUCCAGGCGUU
rnacentral:rRNA from 1 species